CCCUUAGAUGUUCUGGGCCGCACGCGCGCUACACUGACAGAGCCAACGAGUUUUUCUCCUUGACCGAAAGGUCUGGGUAAUCUUGUUAAACUCUGUCGUGCUGGGGAUAGAGCAUUGCAAUUAUUGCUCUUCAACGAGGAAUGCCUAGUAAGCGCAAGUCAUCAGCUUGCGUUGAUUACGUCCCUGCCUUUUGUACACACCGCCCGUCGCUACUACCGAUUGAAUGGCUAAGUGAGGCUUUCGGACUGCCUUAGGGAGGGUGGCAACACCCACCCAGAGGCGGAAAGUUAUCCAAACUUGGUCAUUUAGAGGAAGUAAAANUCGUAACA
rnacentral:rRNA from 1 species